UACGAAGGGGGCGAGCGUUGUUCGGAUUUACUGGGCGUAAAGGGCGCGCAGGCGGUUCUGUUUGUCGAGUGUGAAAUCCCCGGGCUCAACCUGGGAACUGCAUCCAAAACUGGCAAGCUAGAGUAUGGUAGAGGGUGGUGGAAUUUCCUGUGUAGCGGUGAAAUGCGUAGAUAUAGGAAGGAACACCAGUGGCGAAGGCGACCACCUGGACUGAUACUGACACUGAGGUGCGAAAGCGUGGGGAGCAAACAGG
rnacentral:rRNA from 1 species